UACGUAGGGUGCGAGCGUUAAUCGGAAUUACUGGGCGUAAAGCGCGCGUAGGCGGCUUUGCAAGUCGGGUGUGAAAUCCCCAGGCUUAACCUGGGAACUGCAUUCGAGACUGCAUUGCUAGAGUAUGGGAGAGGGAAGUGGAAUUUCCGGCGUAGCGGUGAAAUGCGCAGAUAUCGGGAGGAACACCGGUGGCGAAGGCGGUUCUCUGGGCCUGUACUGACGCUGAGGAGCGAAAGCGUGGGGAGCGAACAGG
rnacentral:rRNA from 1 species